AAUGUGACCUCGAUCAGUAGA
rnacentral:rRNA from 1 species